rnacentral:rRNA from 1 species
UGGGGAAUUUUCCGCAAUGGGCGAAAGCCUGACGGAGCAAUGCCGCGUGGAGGUGGAAGGCCUACGGGUCGUCAACUUCUUUUCUCGGAGAAGAAACAAUGACGGUAUCUGGGGAAUAAGCAUCGGCUAACUCUGUGGCCAG